rnacentral:rRNA from 1 species
AGUGAACGCUGGCGGCGUGCCUAAUACAUGCAAGUCGAACGAUGAAGCUCUAGCUUGCUAGAGUGGAUUAGUGGCGCACGGGUGAGUAAUGCGUAGAUAACAUGCCCUUUAGUCUAGGAUAGCCAUUGGAAACGAUGAUUAAUACUGGAUACUCCUUACGAGGGAAAGUUUUUCGCUAAAGGAUUGGUCUAUGUCCUAUCAGCUUGUUGGUGAGGUAAUGGCUCACCAAGGCUAUGACGGGUAUCCGGCCUGAGAGGGUGAACGGACACACUGGAACUGAGACACGGUCCAGACUCCUACGGGAGGCAGCAGUAGGGAAUAUUGCUCAAUGGGGGAAACCCUGAAGCAGCAACGCCGCGUGGAGGAUGAAGGUUUUCGGAUUGUAAACUCCUUUUGUUAGAGAAGAUAAUGACGGUAUCUAACGAAUAAGCACCGGCUAACUCCGUGCCAGCAGCCGCGGUAAUACGGAGGGUGCAAGCGUUACUCGGAAUCACUGGGCGUAAAGAGCGCGUAGGCGGGAUAGCAAGUCAGAUGUGAAAUCCUAUGGCUUAACCAUAGAACUGCAUUUGAAACUGUUAUUCUAGAGUAUGGGAGAGGUAGGUGGAAUUCUUGGUGUAGGGGUAAAAUCCGUAGAGAUCAAGAGGAAUACUCAUUGCGAAGGCGACCUGCUAGAACAUAACUGACGCUGAUGCGCGAAAGCGUGGGGAGCAAACAGGAUUAGAUACCCUGGUAGUCCACGCCCUAAACGAUGAAUGCUAGUUGUUGUGGAGCUUGUCUCUGCAGUAAUGCAGCUAACGCAUUAAGCAUUCCGCCUGGGGAGUACGGUCGCAAGAUUAAAACUCAAAGGAAUAGACGGGGACCCGCACAAGCGGUGGAGCAUGUGGUUUAAUUCGAAGAUACACGAAGAACCUUACCUAGGCUUGACAUUGAUAGAAUCCGCUAGAGAUAGUGGAGUGCUAGCUUGCUAGAACUUGAAAACAGGUGCUGCACGGCUGUCGUCAGCUCGUGUCGUGAGAUGUUGGGUUAAGUCCCGCAACGAGCGCAACCCUCGUCCUUAGUUGCUAACUAUUCGGUAGAGCACUCUAAGGAGACUGCCUUCGCAAGGAGGAGGAAGGUGAGGAUGACGUCAAGUCAUCAUGGCCCUUACGCCUAGGGCUACACACGUGCUACAAUGGGAAGCACAAAGAGAUGCAAUAUUGUGAAAUGGAGCAAAUCUAUAAAACUUCUCUCAGUUCGGAUUGUAGUCUGCAACUCGACUACAUGAAGCUGGAAUCGCUAGUAAUCGUAAAUCAGCUAUGUUACGGUGAAUACGUUCCCGGGUC